AGAGGAAGAUAGGAGGGGAAAAGAGAAGAGACUAAGAUGUGGGUCCAUUCAUAAAAGGGUAAAAUAAACUAUUCACAAUAAGUCCUCAUAUUUCUGAGCUGGAGCAAUGCAAUCAACUAAACACAUACAACAACUCCAUAUUUUUCUGAAGUUAAUGGAGUGGAGCUGCAAUUUUAUGAAGUCGGUGGAGUGGAGCUAUUUUUUAUAGAGUGGAGUGUUAUCAAACACCCCCUUAAUCACGUUUGACUCGGGGGGUUGAUGCCUUCUUCAACUUGUACCGCAUUGGAAGCGAUCUCGCACGUGAGCCG
rnacentral:lncRNA from 1 species